rnacentral:rRNA from 1 species
ACUCCUACGGGAGGGCAGCAGUGAGGGAAUAUUGGUCAAUGGAGGCAACUCUGAACCAGCCAUGCCGCGUGCAGGAAGAAUGCCCUAUGGGUUGUAAACUGCUUUUAUAUGGGAAGAAAACCCCUGAACGUGUUCGGGGCUGACGGUACCAUAUGAAUUAAGCACCGGCUAACUCCGUGCCAGCAGCCGCGGUAAUACGGAGGGUGCAAGCGUUAUCCGGAUUUAUUGGGUUUAAAGGUGCGCAGGCGGAAUUGUAAGUCAGUGGUGAAGCCCACAGCUCAACUGUGGAACUGCCAUUGAUACUGCUAUUCUUUGAAUAUAGUUGAAGUAAGCGGGAAUGUAUCAUGUAGCGGUGAAAUGCAUAGAUAUGAUACAGAACACCAAUUGCGAAGGCAGCUUAC